rnacentral:rRNA from 1 species
UGGGGAAUUUUGCACAAUGGGGGAAACCCUGAUGCAGCGACGCCGCGUGAUUUAGAAGGCCUUCGGGUUGUAAAAAUCUUUUCUUUGGGAAGAAAAUGACAGUACCAUAGGAAUAAGGACCGGCUAAUUACGUGCCAGCAGCCGCGGUAAUACGUAAGGUCCGAGCGUUGUCCGGAAUCAUUGGGAGUAAAGGGUACGUAGGCGGGUAAGCAAGUUAGAAGUGAAAUCCUAUAGCUCAACUAUAGUAAGCUUUUAAAACUGCUCAUCUUGGGGUAUGGAAGGGAAAGUGGAAUUCCUAGUGUAGCGGUGAAAUGCGCAGAUAUUAGGAGGAAUACCGGUGGCGAAGGCGACUUUCUGGCCAUAACCUGACGCUGAGGUACGAAAGCGUGGGUAGCAAACAGG